rnacentral:rRNA from 1 species
UACGUAGGGUGCGAGCGUUAAUCGGAAUUACUGGGCGUAAAGCGUGCGCAGGCGGUCUUGCAAGACAGGUGUGAAAUCCCCGGGCUUAACCUGGGAACUGCACUUGUGACUGCAAGGCUGGAGUACGGCAGAGGGGGAUGGAAUUCCGCGUGUAGCAGUGAAAUGCGUAGAUAUGCGGAGGAACACCGAUGGCGAAGGCGGCUAUCUGGACCGACAUUGACGCUGAGGCGCGAAAGCGUGGGGAGCAAACAGG